CCGGGCUGUAGUCACCGGCUGUGGGUGAUGCACAGAACCGCCCUGCGACUCGCGAUACCGACUGCACCACUGCCUGCGCACCCCGCGGCCCGCGCACCGCAGCCCCUCCCUGCCGCUCAGAGGUACAUGUCAUCUGAAGCCUUGGGCCCUCCGCAUCAUAAAUCAGGAACAAAUCCAGGAGGGAGAAAGAGCAAAGGAGACAAGGACCUCGUUAAGAACACUAAGUUUCUGUGGAGAAAAAAGUGUUGGCUUGAACUCCUCGUGCUUUCUUAUGUAAUAAAAAAGUCAAGCAAAGGGCAUGUCUUGGUUCGGCUGGGACUCGGCAGACUGCCUGCGUUAUUACAGUGCUGGGAGUCUGAGGCUCUCUGCUCCUUGAGGAUUAUCAUGUGACUCCUCCC